GACGAACGCUGGCGGCGUGCUUAACACAUGCAAGUCACGGGGGCCCCGCGAGGGGGUAACCGGCGAACGGGUGCGUAACACGUGAACAACCUGCCCUCGUGUGGGGAUAGCCGGGCUAACGCCCGGGUAAUACCGCAUACGUCCUCUCGGGGGAGUCCUCGAGGGGGGAAAGCUCCGGCGCACGGGGAGGGGUUCGCGGCCUAUCAGCUUGUUGGCGGGGUAACGGCCCACCAAGGCGACGACGGGUAGCUGGUCUGAGAGGAUGGCCAGCCACAUUGGGACUGAGAGACGGCCCAGACUCCUACGGGAGGCAGCAGUGGGAAUCUUGCGCAAUGGUCGAAGACUGACGCAGCGACGCCGCGUGUGGGAGGACGCCUUUUCGGGGUGUAAACCACUGUUGCCCGGGGACGAACUCGCUGAUUCGUCAGCGUUGACGGUACCGGGUGAGGAAGCACCGGCUAACUCCGUGCCAGCGGCCGCGGUAAUACGGAGGUGCGAGCGUUGUCCGGAAUCAUUGGGCGUAAGGGCGCGUAGGUGGCCCGGUCAGUCCGUGGUGAAAGCGCGGGCUCAACCUGCGUCGGCCAUGGAUACUGCCGCGGCUGGAGCACUGUAGAGGCAGGCGGAAUUCCGGGUG
rnacentral:rRNA from 1 species